rnacentral:rRNA from 1 species
AUUGAACGCUGGCGGCAUGCCUUACACAUGCAAGUCGAACGGUAACGCGGGGCAACCUGGCGACGAGUGGCGAACGGGUGAGUAAUGCAUCGGAACGUGCCCAGUAGUGGGGGAUAGCCCGGCGAAAGCCGGAUUAAUACCGCAUACGACCUACGGGUGAAAGCGGGGGACCGUAAGGCCUCGCGCUAUUGGAGCGGCCGAUGUCAGAUUAGGUAGUUGGUGGGGUAAAGGCCUACCAAGCCUUCGAUCUGUAGCUGGUCUGAGAGGACGACCAGCCACACUGGGACUGAGACACGGCCCAGACUCCUACGGGAGGCAGCAGUGGGGAAUUUUGGACAAUGGGCGCAAGCCUGAUCCAGCCAUGCCGCGUGCGGGAAGAAGGCCU